UUAAACCCGAUGCUGGGGUAAAGUAACUACAUGCAGCCAACAGAGAGCCGGUGUUAGGUGCGAACCGGUGGUUGUAUUUGGUGAAAAGGCUCCCCGUAGGGGGCCCGCUGAAAGAAGCAGUAGGCGGGCACGGAUAGUUCCGUUAUUUAAACGAAGAGGAUUUGUUUAUAGCAUGUUUUACAUACUUAAACGAAUCAAUAUGGGUGGCACCGCGGGAGAAACACCUCUCGUCCCUGUG
rnacentral:ncRNA from 1 species